UUGCACGUUCUGCCAUGAAGAUUGGUCGCAUAGAGGACGUGACUCCAAUUCCAACUGACAGUACACGUAGAAAGGGUGGAAGGAGAGGAAGGAGGUUGUAAUUUGGAUCUUUUACCAAACAAAUGGAUAAAAGUUUCAUGUUUGAACUAGUUUUUUUGUUUACAUUUUCAGGACAUGUUUUGUUACUAAUUGUCAGAUUGAUAUUAUGACAAGGCUGAGUUUACUAUUCCCUAUUAAUUACCUAAAUUUUGUGGAAA